rnacentral:rRNA from 1 species
CAACUCUUAACAACGGAUAUCUUGGCUCUCGUACCGAUGAAGAACGCAGCGAAAUGCGAUACGUAAUGCGAAUUGCAGAACUCAGUGAAUCAUCAAAUCUUUGAACGCAAAUUGCGCUUUCGGGAUAGGCCUGAAAGCACGUUUCUUUGAGUAUCGAU